UACAUGUGGGGCAAGCGUUGUUCGGAAUUACUGGGCAUAAAGGGUGCGUAGGCGGCGCGGUAAGUCGGGUGUGAAAUCUCGGAGCUUAACUCCGAAACUGCAUUCGAUACUGCCGUGCUUGAGGACUGGAGAGGAGACUGGAAUUUACGGUGUAGCGGUGAAAUGCGUAGAUAUCGUAAGGAAGACCAGUGGCGAAGGCGGGUCUCUGGACAGUUCCUGACGCUGAGGCACGAAGGCUAGGGGAGCAAACGGG
rnacentral:rRNA from 1 species